UGUCCCAAGGUGCUGCACGAUCUCUGACUUCUCCACAGAAGUUCUGAAGAAGAGUCAAAACGGACUUGAAACAUUACCGCUGUUUCUCUCUGCAGAGAUGCUGAGUUUCUCCAGGAUUCUCUUUGAUUCUCCCUAGAAGUAGUUUGUUAAGGUUGUUGCUCCAAGUGUGAAGCAGGUGCCUAAGCCUCCAAUAGGGGAGUAAGGAAGUGCCCACUUGUCAGGUGUCAGAUUGGGAACUUCUACCAUACUGUUGGAGACUGAUAAAUAGAGGACCUCACUUAUCAACCCUUGGCUUCUCAAAAAGGAUUUUCUAUCUUGAAGGUGUAAUCUCUCCUCCUGCAGUUACCUACUUGGCGCUUCAAUUCAAUUCCGUUCCUUUGGAAAUUGACCACCAGGGAAUUCUGUUCAUUCAUGGGAAGCUCCAGUGUAAGGUCAAUGUGCUCUACAAGGAAUAACUGUGAAGAGUUGAAAUUUCACGUCAGCCUGUAAAUUAAUUGCUACUUGGCCCAAGAGGUUUCCAUCGACAGACGAGAUCAAGGUGUGAUGUUUUCUGUUAAAGUCAGUCCUGGAGGUGUUAUUGUGAAUAAAUACAGGAAGGCUCAUGCCUGGAAUACAGGUGAAGAAAUAGAACUUAAGAGUGAACUUGUUUUAAGGCAGAAGAGCAGAAGACAACAAUAGAAGUUUUAAGGAACAUCAAAUGCAAGGUUUAUCGUGGGAUAAAAAUCAUUUGCAGUUCUUUACAUAGCAGAGCAUCCCCAGCCUAUCAACGAUUUGUAGCUGGGAAAAAAAGCUGGAAAUCAUCCUUUCAAAGUGUCUCACAGCCAUUCUGUUUAAUCUACAUAUCUCUAAUGCAUUGCUUAGCAACGACAGUUUGAUGUUUAGAAUUGUUUUGAAAGGCCACUUUUCUUAAAAAGAGACAAAAAUACCCUCUAAAAAAAUCGCUUUACUUUGGUUCUCCCCUCUCACCCGGUCUUGAGAUAAAGUUCCUCUGAAUACUUUGCACAAGAAAAGCCCCAGGAGUGCACCUGCAUCAACCCAGACUCACAAUGUGAGGCCAGCGAACAAGGGGCCACAAAACACUCCAUUGAGUCAUGACUGUCAGCUGAGGCAGUGAGGAUACAAUGGAGCGGGAGGAACAAUUUCGCUACACAGUUCAAAGUAACAGUGCCAACCAAACAACAUAAAAAGCUCUUCUAUAAGUAAGGAGCUUUCUGGUCUCUAGUUCCCAUGCUACUUGUCUACAAACCUCAAGCCGAUGGUCUAUUCAGUUCAAAAGGAACUUGGAAAACAACUUUGCUAUAAACUUUCUCCUUGUCAACUAUCUGAAAG